UGUCUUGGGUCUCACACMUAAAGAACCCAAAUAUCUAAACGGAGAAAUUCAAUAUUGUUACGCAAUGUGCACUUUUCUCUUAGUAAGACGCCGUGAUCCAUUAGAAAGUGGUGCGUUCCAGCGCAUAGUGAGUCAUCAAUAGGCCAGCGUGAAGUUUGUCCGGAACGAAUGGCRCGAUCUUUUACGGUUGUGUGUAUCGUCUGGUGAGCGCGUUGAUGACUGUCUGAUGGAUUUUAUAGGUUAUACCCGAUCAACGGCGGUUCAGUUUGGGAUACCUUUUGGACCCGUCUUGAAACACGGACCAAGGAGUCUAUCUAGUAUGCGAGUAAAUGGAUAUGUUGAAAUCUAUUUGCGUAAUAAACGUAACUGUGUGUGGGAUUACGAUUAGAAUUCUCRCGAUCUCUUUUCUUCCAUCCCGGGGUAUUUUCAUCCAUAUGGAAAAUAUACCAUGAGCACACUGGAUACGACCCGAAAGAUGGUGAACUAUGCCUGAUCAGGUCGAAGUCAGGGGAAACCCUGAUGGAGGACCGAAGCAGUUCUGACGUGCAAAUCGAUUGUCAGAAUUGGGCAUAGGCGAAG
rnacentral:rRNA from 1 species